GGAGGGAGGAAUGUGCUGCUUCUCCCAAGCCUCUGAAUGCUUCUGCAGGAAGGAGGUAGCCGGCCAACAUGAGGAGGAGGCAGGGACAGGGCAAGUCAGGCCCGGUGGGGUGGGGGCGCACCUGCUGGAGCCCUCGUGGCCCUGGGGGGUUCCCUGCCUAGCUGAACACCCUCUGAUGCCAUCCCUGCAGGAACAGCCUCCUGUGAAGGCCACUUCAGAGGUAGAGGCCCACCCAGCAGGAGCAGGCCCUACUAGAGCCCCGUUCACAGCCAAGCGUUUUGUGAUUUUCCCUUUGACCUCCUCUUGCACCAGCAUGCCUCAUUCCAUCAGUCUUUCCCUGUGCCAAGAAAACUCCGGUGAAGAAAUGGGAUUUGAAGAAAAUACCAAAUUUCGCCCCAGGACAUGCAUUGACAGAACUGAUGGAUCCCAAGUUGUGUGUCAAAGUUGAAGCUGCACCCCAGGGCUAUUUGAUUCCCUCCCAGCCUUAUUUCUCCAUAAAAUUGGUAGCUGUUUGCAUACGAUUACAGAUGACAAAAUAAAGAAAGGUUACAGGAUCUGAGACAGCUUUGCCAAGAAACUUGAAAUAUUCGGGGACCCCCUAAUGUCCCAGCAGGCCCCAAGGUGAAGCAGUCACUGUGGCCAAACCUGCUGUGCCAGAUUUAUUCUAAAUUCUGAAACCUCCAUGCUGAGAGGUGGAACUCUGUCUCUUGUUAAAAGUGUCCCAUGUGCUCUUUGUUUUAGAUCCCAGUGCUUUGGAGAUGUUUAGGCUACUGGAUUUUCACCAGCACAGAGAGAACUUCGUAGAAUUGCUAGG
rnacentral:lncRNA from 1 species